rnacentral:rRNA from 1 species
UGGGGAAUAUUGGACAAUGGGCGAAAGCCUGAUCCAGCCAUGCCGCGUGUGUGAAGAAGGUCUUCGGAUUGUAAAGCACUUUAAGUUGGGAGGAAGGGCAGUAAGCGAAUACCUUGCUGUUUUGACGUUACCGACAGAAUAAGCACCGGCUAACUCUGUGCCAGCAGCCGCGGUAAUACAGAGGGUGCAAGCGUUAAUCGGAAUUACUGGGCGUAAAGCGCGCGUAGGUGGUUCGUUAAGUUGAAUGUGAAAGCCCCGGGCUCAACCUGGGAACUGCAUCCAAAACUGGCGAGCUAGAGUAGGGCAGAGGGUGGUGGAAUUUCCUGUGUAGCGGUGAAAUGCGUAGAUAUAGGAAGGAACACCAGUAGCGAAGGCGACCACCUGGGCUCAUACUGACACUGAGGUGCGAAAGCGUGGGGAGCAAACAGG